CCUUUAUGUGUUUGUAUGCAUGCGAUUGGCAACAUAACUGGCUUAUUUACAUUAAAUACGCCACAAGGUUACAGUGCAGAUCAACGUCACUUUAUCGCUGAUUACUUCUCUUAAACGCCGGAGCUGUGACUGAUGCUCCGGUCCCGGUGUCCACCAAGAUUUACCCUGGAGUUUUUAAAAGAAACAGACUUGAAAUAGUUUCAGGAGCAGUUCCUGACCUUCAGUACCUAUCCCAUGUCACUAGAAAUUUCUCUCAGCCAAGAGAAAGAUUCAGUGGUUUGAGAGUUACCUGGAUCACAGGACUACGUUGACAAAUAAGUGCUUAAUAAACUAAUGAAGACAAGCA
rnacentral:lncRNA from 1 species